rnacentral:rRNA from 1 species
CGGCAAAAGCUCAAAUUUGAAAUCUGGCGCCUUCGGUGUCCGAGUUGUAAUUUGAAGAUUGUAACCUUGGGGUUGGCUCUUGUCUAUGUUUCUUGGAACAGGACGUCACAGAGGGUGAGAAUCCCGUGCGAUGAGAUGCCCAAUUCUAUGUAAGGUGCUUUCGAAGAGUCGAGUUGUUUGGGAAUGCAGCUCUAAGUGGGUGGUAAAUUCCAUCUAAAGCUAAAUAUUGGCGAGAGACCGAUAGCGAACAAGUACAGUGAUGGAAAGAUGAAAAGAACUUUGAAAAGAGAGUGAAAAAGUACGUGAAAUUGUUGAAAGGGAAGGGUUUGAGAUCAGACUCGAUAUUUUGUGAGCCUUGCCUUCGUGGCGGGGUGACCCGCAGCUUAUCGGGCCAGCAUCGGUUUGGGCGGUAGGAUAAUGGCGUAGGAAUGUGACUUUACUUCGGUGAAGUGUUAUAGCCUGCGUUGAUGCUGCCUGCCUAGACCGAGGACUGCGAUUUUAUCAAGGAUGCUGGCAUAAUGAUCCCAAAC